AUUGAAAAUGGUAUAAAGUUAUAAAGGUUAGAAUGGCUAGAAAGACCUAAGCAUUUAUUGCUUCAGAAUUAUCUAUCCUCGUGAUAUGUUCAACCAUCGUAAUCUAUUUUCUUUCAUUUUGUCUACUAUCGAAGCCACAACUAAACUAACUCGUAUAUGCUAAUUCCUUAACCUAUAUUCUCUCGUUAAUCCACUUAUCCAUCAUACGUCAAUCUGCUACAAUCACCUACUUGUGUUUUCGAACUUAACCUAACUUGUCUAAUGAUAAGGUAAAACCACCUUUAUCUAGAUAACCGUGAGUAAAGCCUUUAUUAUUAUGAUAUUAAAUGAAAUUCAAAACUCUGGCUU